rnacentral:rRNA from 1 species
AUCACUCGGCUCGUGGAUCGAUGAAGACCGCAGCUAAAUGCGCGUCACAAUGUGAACUGCAGGACACAUGAACAUUGAUAAGUUGAACGCAUAUUGCACGUCGUGGGAACCUACCAUGAUGUACACAUACUUGAGCGCUUAUAUUUGGGAGUUACAAACACAAUACACUACGCCGUGAUUGGUGCCGGUCACCACGUCAUUGGUCGUGCAUAAUGAUGUAAGAUGGGCCACGCCGGUCCGCUUGCAUUGAAGAACUGCGGUGUAAAGCCUCUUUAUCAAACAAGUAGUAGCGUGUUCCUGCGGACGGAGGAAAUACCCAUGCAAGGCGCGUCUUGUUGCUGUGUUAGGUGGACAGGUGUCUUCCUCUUCUAUUAUUUUUAAUUGAGGUAAGAUUACCAACGUUUUAUCGAGACAGUGGGCAGGACGCAAAUGAAGUGGCCGUAUGGAAACCUUACAAGGGAACACUAAACGCACCAUAAACACUACCCAGCGUUGAGCAGUGGUGGAGCAUCGCAAACACAAUCAUCAAUUAUCACUUCGAAACAUAGUGAGACCACUGGCUGGUCAAAUAAGCCUCAAGUUAUGUGUGACUACCCCCUAAAUUUAAGCAU